AUUGAACGCUGGCGGCAUGCCUUACACAUGCAAGUCGAACGGCAGCACGGGAGCAAUCCUGGUGGCGAGUGGCGAACGGGUGAGUAAAGUAUCGGAACGUGCCCAGUCGUGGGGGAUAACGUAGCGAAAGUUACGCUAAUACCGCAUACGAUCUAUGGAUGAAAGCGGGGGAUGGCAAGACCUCGCGCGAUGGGAGCGGCCGAUAUCAGAUUAGGUGUUUGGUGGGGUAAAGGCUCACCAAGCCGACGAUCUGUAGGUGGUCUGAGAGGACGACCAGCCACACUGGGACUGAGACACGGCCCAGACUCCUACGGGAGGCAGCAGUGGGGAAUUUUGGACAAUGGGCGAAAGCCUGAUCCAGCCAUGCCGCGUGCAGGAUGAAGGCCUUCGGGUUGUAAACUGCUUUUGUACGGAACGAAAAGGUUUGGGCUAAUAAGCUGAGCUCAUGACGGUACCGUAAGAAUAAGCACCGGCUAACUACGUGCCAGCAGCCGCCGUAA
rnacentral:rRNA from 1 species